CAACUACAUCAUGACGGUGCCUCGAUGACAGGAAUUGUAAAAUGCAACUCCCUGGAAUGUAGAAUUGCAUUCCAAUUUCAGAGAUGUUAAAUGUGAAAAUAAAAAUGUGUCUUAGUAUUGCUGAAAUAUAAAAAUUAAAUUUUAUAGAAAUACGGUAAUUGAAAUUCACAGUUAAACUUCAACCUUAAUUAUGACUACUCUUUGCUACCUAGCUUAUUUUUAGCAUUCCUAACAGAUACUGUGUGAAAACUGAUUUGAGUCUUAACUUUUCUUAUAUUCUUUGUUAUCCCCUGAAGGACGUGUGAAAUGCCCAAGAAGCCAGUGCUGUGGGAAGAGGAAAAAUGAAGUCUUGUGUGUUUUGCCCCCAAUAACUCAAACUGGUGUAUGUGUCUCCAUCAGACAAUGUAAGUCUCAGUGGAUUUCUCUCCAGCCUUCAUUGUGAGAACCUGGUAGAGAUCGUGGGGAACUCACAAAAGCAUGAGGUUGGCCCUGUGAAUGGCCCCUCUGGAGUUUUUAACCCUCAGACCUGUCCACACCAAGGCUUCAGCAACUCUUCAGUUACAGCUUAGGUUUUCCUAGCCUUUCCUGUGGAGGUUUCUGCUCAUGGAGUUCUGCUCUGGUAAGUUAUUAUUCUCUGUAACCACCUGUCUGUCUCCAGCUUUGAGGGCAGCAGUUUGAUGUGACCUCACUUCUCUGACAGAUCUAAGAAAAGUUACUGAUUUUCAUUUUGUUCAGCUUUUUACUUGUUGCUAGGAUAGAGUGAUGACUUCCAAGCUUCUUACAUGUCAGACCAGAAACUGGAAGUCUGCAUCAUUCUGUUUACCUUCCUGGGCCCUAAAAACAUAACAAAGCAGAUUUCUUGUCAGAAUCUGUGUGUCAAUGAUAUGGUUUGGAUCUGUGUCCCUGUUCAAAUCUCAUGUUGAAAUGUAAUCCCCUAUAUUGGAGGUGGGGCUUGGUGGGAAGUGAUUGGAUCACGGGGGUGGUUUCUCAUGGUCUGACACCAUCUCCCUUGGUGCUGUCAUUCCCAUAGUGAGUCCUCAUGAGAUCUGGUUGUUUAAAAGUGUGUGGCAGGUGCCCCUUCUCUCUCUUGCUUCUUUUCUAGCCAUGUGAAGUGCUGUUCUCAUUUUACCUUCUGCUAUGAUUGUAAGUUUCCUGAGGCCUCCCAAGAAGCUGAACAGAUGCCACUGCACUUUCUGUACAGCCUGUGGAACUGUGAGCCAAUUACACCUCUUGUCCUUAUUAAUUACCCAGUCUCGGGUAUUUAUUUAUAGCAGUGCAAGAACUGACUAAUGCAGUUCAGUAGGCAUUAUAAAUUUAUUCUUUGAAAUGCCAUCUUUAGUAUAAAAAUAGAAAAUAGAAGCAUUUGGUAUACCAAUAAUAAACAAUAUUUCCAUGUAUCAGAAUCACAACAAACCCACAAAGUUAUAAUUGGGGGUUGGUUCUGGGCCUUGCUGGGCUUUAUGUCUGAAAGGGAGCAGGAGUUUCUUGAAACUAGGGGACUGAAUGAAGCUCCCCUGGUUAAGAAACAAGUCUGGAAAACUCCUUAGGGCUAUCACUUCUGUGAAGUUUUGUAACCAGGAAAGAAAGAAACUGUAUAAGCACACAACCAAAAUCUUAAGCAAGCCCCACACCUUGGCAGAUCAUCAAUACCUGCAAUACCACACAGCAUGUGGGGGAGAGAGGUAGUUGUGAGCCACCACUAGAAGUAGAAGUUGAGGGCUCUGAACGGCCAGGUAGAAACAACCCCAAACCUGGAGACUGGCUGGAAAGGAUGAAAGAGAAAAAAAUUUCACCUAAGAUGAGCUGAAGUACACAGUCCAAAACAUGAAGAAGUCUAGUCUAAGAGAGAAAGCCAACAUUUGUGACAAAUUUACUUUACGUAUAAUUAAUAGAAUAAGGCGGGGUGCGGUGGCUCAUGCCUGUAAUCCCAGCACUUUGGGAGGCUGAGGUGGGUGGAUCACUUGUGGCCAGGAGUUCAAGACUAGCCUGGCCAACAUGGCGAAGCCCAUCUCUAAUAAAAAAAUAUUAAAAUUAGCCAGGCGUUGUGGCAGGCGCCUGUAAUCCUAGCUACUCUGGAGGCUGAGGCAGGAAAAUUGCUUGAACCCAGGAAGCAGAAGUUGCAGUGAGCCAAGAUCGCACCACUGCACUCCAGCCUGGGUGACAGAGACUCCAUCUCAAAAAGUAAAUAAAUAAAUAAAUAAAAAGAAAAUAAUAAAAUAAUAGAAUAAGAUAAAGAAGGCUUUAAACACACGAGUUUAGGAUCAUCAGAGUGGUAAAUAAAAGGAAAAGGACCGGGUGUAGUCACUCACACCUGUAAUCCCAGUAUUUUGGGAGGCAGAGGAAGGAGGGUUGCUUGAGCCCAGGAAUUCAAGACCAACUUGUGCAUUAGAGUGAGACCCCCAUCUCCACUGGAAAAAAAAAAAAGGAAAAGAAUUAACCAAACAAAAAAAGGCAGAAAGGACAUAAGAACAGUUACAUAUGAAAUAGAAACACCUGGAUAACAUGUAUGUAAAAUCUGGAAAGUUAAAAAAAAAAACACACACACAAUAGAUUGGAUCAACUCUAGGCUGACACAGCUGAAGAAAAAAGUGCUCUGAACAAUUGUAUUAGAAAUUCAGGCUAGACACAGUGGCUUAUGCCUGUAUUCCCAACACUUUGGGAGAUUAAGUCAGGAGGAUCACUUGAGCUGAGAAGUUCAGGACCAGUCUGGGCAACAUAGUGAGACCCUCAUCUCUACAAACAUACAUACAUACAUACAUACAUACAUACAUACAUACAUACAUAAAGGGAAAAAAGGAUAAUGAGAGAAUACUCAAAGAAAGAACUGAAGACUUUUCACAAAGAAAUUCACAAAUCCUUACAAUUAAAAAUGCACAAAGAAUAAUGAAAAGGAUAAAUAGAAAUAAAUGCACAUGUAGACACAAGAUGGUAAAAUUGCAGAACAAGAGUAAAGACAAAAGUUUUAAAAACCACAGGAGAAGGUUGGGCGCAGUGGUUCACACUCGUAAUCACAGCACUUUGGGAGUCUGAAGCAGCCAGAUCACUUGAGGCCAGGAGUUUGAUACCAGCCUGGCCAACAUGGCGAAACCCUGUCUCUACUAAAAAUACAAAAAUUAGCUGGGUGUGGUGGUGCAUGCCUGUAAUCACAGCUUGCAUUAGUCUGUUCUCACACUGCAGAUAAAGAAAUACCUGAGACUGGGUAAUUUAUAAAGAAAAAAAGAUUUAAUGGACUUACAGUUUCACAUGCCUGGAGAGGCCUCAGAAUAAUGGUGGAAGGCAAAGGAGGAGCAAAGUCACGUCUUACAUGGCAGCAGGCAAGAGAGCAUGUGCAGGGGAAUUCCCAUUUAUAAAACCGUCAGAUCUCAUGAGACUUACUCACUACCACGAGAACAGUAUGGGGGAAACCACCUUCAAGAUUCAAUUAUCUCCACCUGGCCCUGCCCUUGACACAUGGGGAUUAUUACAAUUCAAGGUGAGAUUUGGGUGGGGACACAUAGCCAAAACAUAUCAUACCUACUCGGGAGGCUGAGGCACCAGAAUUGCUUGAACCCAGGAGAUGGAGGUUGCAGUGAGCCUAGAUUGCACCACUGCACUGCAGGCUGGGCGACAGAGUGAGACUCUGUCUGAAACAAAACAAAACAAAAGAACAAAAAAAACACAGGACAGAAAGACAGAAUUCUUGCUAACAGAUCUCAUUAGGUGAUCAACAGACUUCUCAUCUGCAACAGAUACCGCAUCACAACAGAUUAAUAUUUUCAAGGUGCUGAUAGACAAUAACUGCAAACUUUGAAUUCUAAACCCCGAAUGAACCAAGAUUCAAAAAUAAAGACCAUAUAAAGACUUUCAAAAAUGCAUUAGGAAAAUUUAACAACUUAGGGUCCUUAAUGAAAGGACCAUUAACAGAGAUCCAAGGAUUGUGAUGAAACAAAACAAAACAAAAACCCCAAGAGAAACUAAUCUUCUUGAAAUGCUGUUUUAUUUAAUUAACCAUGGACACUAUUUCCACACCCACACACACAAACACAGCACAGACAUCAAAAUUCCAGGCAAGAAUACCAAGGAAGAAGGUGGAGUAGGGAUGAGGGUUCUUAUGAGAUUGGGUAGGAGAAGGUUGAUAGAAAUAUUUAAGUAAUUCCAGACCAGUGUUUCUCCAAUUUUGGCAUGCGUCAGAAUCACUUGGAACACACAGGUUGUGUACCCACCCAUAGAAUUUCUGAUUCAUUAGGUCUGGGGUGGGACCUGAGAAUCUGCAUUUCUAACAGUUCCCAGGUGAUGCUAAGGCUGCUGCUCUGGGGUCUAUGCUUUGGGAACCACUCCUGCUGACUUUACUGGAAAGACUAAGUAUGUAGGUAAAAAAAAAAAAACCUGAGUGACCAUUAAAAGAAUAGGAACUAUGUAUAGCUUUAAAACCACAAAGGAAAAUAAAUGGACUAUAUAUGUGUGAACCCCAAAUAUCUGAGACAGGUCUCAAUAAAUUUAGAAAGUUUAUUUUGCCAAGGUUAAGGACACGUAUCUGUGACAGCCUCAGGACAUCCUGAUGACAUGUGCCCAAGGUGGUCGGGGCACAGCUUGGUUUUAUACAUUUUCAGGGAGACUUGAGACAUCAAUCAAUAUGUAUAAAGAUGUAUAUUGUUUUGGUCCAGAAAGGUGGGACAACUCAAAGCGGGGAGGGGGCUUCCAGGUCAUAGGUAAAUAAUAAGCAACAAAUGGUUGCAUUUUUUUGAGUUUCUGAUUAGCCUCUCCAAAGUAAGCAAGCAGAUAUGCAUUUAUCUCAGUGAGCAGAGGAAUGAUUUUGAGUUCUAUCUGACCUUUGUCUGUAAGGAAUUUCCUGGUGGACAAAUUGUGAAGGAGGUUAUGUGGCUUUUUAAAUUUCAGUAGCUGUCUUUUUUAGGAGUAGAAUGGGAGGAAGCUUUGCCCUAAGCAGUUCCCAGCUUGACUUUUCCCUUUGGCUUAUCCCAAGAUUUAUUUUCCUUUCACAUAUGUAUAUAUUUAUAAAUGUUAUAAGUACAACAGAAGGCAAGAAUGGAGCAAACAUAAGAGUGAGGAGGAGGAGGAGGAGGAGGAGAAGAAUGGUAAGUGCAAAUUAAAAUGGUAGUACUAAAUCCACACACUGGAAGGUGGUUUUUGCAACACAUAAAACUGAAAAAGCAAUUGUAUGCAGAAUACAUCAAGAAUUCCUACAAACCUUUAAAGAAAAUACAAGACCUUGAAAAAAUUUGCAAAGGAUGUGAUCAAACAAUUCACAGAAGAGGAAACAAACAUGGCCACAAAGCAUAUCCAAAAUCCAAAAGCAAAGCAUAGUCUCCCCAGUAACUAGGGAAAUACAGAUUAAAGGCACGGAUUUAUACCCAGCAGAUUGGUGAAAACUUAAAAGUCUCGUAAUUCCGAGUCUGAGUUGGGAUGUGGAAAAACAAGCCAGAAGUCUCACACAGGAGUGGUGAAAGGCUACGCUGGUGCAACUUCUUCAAAACAAUUUUAACAAUUUCUAGUAAAGAUAUGAUCUUUGUAUCAUAUCAAAGAUGCACAUUCUCUUUACCCGGUGAUCCAGCAGUCGACUUAAUGUGGAACAUAGACUCUUGCAUGUGAGUUCAGAGGCAUAUGCAUAAAUGUUCUUGGGGGUUUCCCUGUGAUAAUUAAAAACUGGAAAUAAACUAAUCUUAUUGCCAGAGAGUAGAUUAGAAUGUAGGAUCUUUAUACAAUGGAAUACUGUGAAGAAUUAACAUGAAUUGCUACUAUGUGGCCAUAGAUUCUGCCUAUAGAUUCUUUAAUGUUCUAUAUCAUAGAACAUUAUUUACCUCAAAUACUUAGAAUCAGCUUCAGUUAAAAUUAUAGUUGAAACUCUAAGCCACAUGGUUCAGUAAUACGUAAUAAAAAACUUCAAUGAGGUUAUUAGCAUAGUGUUUUUGAGAAUCCCAAACACUGGGUUAGCCCUUAUUCUUUGUUUAGAUGAAAAAGAUAAUGCAGAAGCUUAGAGAAUAUUUACAUUCCAGUUGCCAUGAUUAUAAAAU
rnacentral:lncRNA from 1 species